GUUUCCGAUCCCGACCACGACGGCGAGCGUGAAUGGUACUGGUAGUCUCAUCUCGUCCUCCCCAUCCUCCCUGUGAUCUUACUUUCAGCAAAGGAGCUCCGGUGAAGGAGAAUCGAAGGAGAGAAGCUUCUGAGUUUUCCGGCGAGGGUUCAGUGUUUUCCGGCGAAGUUGUGUUCGACUCAGAAUUGGAGGUAGAGGGCGGAGUUGCAGGUUGUUCGGGUUUACUGCAAGUUUUGGUGAUUUUGGAGUUCAUACUUAUGAGCUGGUUCGAUAUAUGGUAUAAUGGAGUUGUGUUUUCAUCAUUGCCGAAGUAAUUGAGGGACUAGUGAUUGGAAUACAAUUUGGAGAUGAAUCAAGAGGUGGGAGAUUUGGACGACCUAUGUAUGUGUUGGUUAGUAAGAACAAGAAAGUCUUGCUACUACCGUGGAGUUGUGCGACAAUGCAGGAAAGUUACUAACUUUGGAAUUAUUGUUUAUUUGGCUACUGUAAAUGCAAGUUGAAUGAGCUCAGAGGUUAUAAACGUAUUAAAGGUAGGGAUUUAUACAAAGUGUGGGUGUCCAUAGCAAUUUGAAGGAUGGAAUGGAAGAAUUAAUUGGACACUUGUUUUUGGGUGUCCUUAGUAGAUUUCUGAAUUCGGUGUUUAAAAUGAUUCGUCGACAUUCUUGGAAUAAGAGUUCGAUACGAGGAUUUGAGGGCACUUUGCAGUUCUAGAAGCAGAAGGAUAAAGAUUUCAGAAUGCGUGUCGCAGAGAUACUAAUUUUAGUUAGCGUUGGAACUAGCGCUCGGAUUCCAGGUAAGGUUUUUCUCGGGGAACCUUCCUUAAAUUGAUAAUUAAUUUAUAAUUGAAAUGAGUCCAUUGAGUGAUUAACUCUUGGUUGUUAUUGUUUUCGAUAAAAGUAUAUGUAAUCGGUGAUUUAUAUAAUUAAUGUUAUUGCUUUCCAUAAAAACAUGUGUUGGAUGAUAUAUUAUGAAUAUUGAUAUUUGUUGCAUUCAUAAUGCAUUGUGAGGAAUUGUGAGAUUAGUGAGAUUAAUGAUAGUGGAGAAGAUGAGAAUGAGAUCGAGAAAAGAUACAUUUUGUGUAGUUGAGUUUCCUUAUGGGUUGUCCAUGAAUCCAUGUCAGCCCAUAAGUGUCACACCCUGAAUUUUGGAUGACUAAAAAAUCCAAAUUCAAGGCAUGAAAACUAAAAAGAAAAACAACUUUAUAAUAUUUUAGUUUUACAACUUGUGAAAGAAUAAAUUGGAUAAGGUAAAACCUCCCUCAAUACUCACAAAAUCUAGAAAGUAAACACAAGGAACAAAGCCUAACUGGCGCAGCCUCAACUCUGUUAAUCUUGACCUGCAAAAUCAACUUCUACCAAACUG